AAUGAUGACGCCGACUCGCCGAGGAUGAACGACGCCGACGCUGGAGAAGUGGAGAUGAUGACGGAAUAAAUGAUCGACUCCGAUCCGAGAAGCCGCAGCAACGGAGCUGAGUGACUGCGGAGAUGAUGACGCCGACUCUCUCUCCGAGGAUGAACGACGCUGGAGAAGUGGAGAUGAUGACGGAAGAGAUGAUCGGCUCCGAUCCGAGAAGCCAUCGCCGCUUGAGAGAGAUGAAGAUCUCCGAGUUUUCAGCAAAAAAAAAAUGUAAUUAGAAAAUAAAAUAAGGGGUACUAUGAUAAAUGAACCUUUUAAUGAAACCUAGUUAUGUGAUUUUGGAUCUUGAAUGCUAUUUUUGAGACAGAAACUUGGAUUGGUGUCAUUUUGGGCAUUUUCUCAUUUUAUUUUAUACUAUGGUCCUUAAAUUUGUCAUAAUUAAUUUAAAUUCAUAAUUUUUUUACUAGCACAUAUAUAAAAAUAUUG
rnacentral:lncRNA from 1 species